GUGUGACGCUGAGGAGCGAAAGCGUGGGGAGCGAACAGGAUUAGAUACCCUGGUAGUCCACGCCGUAAACGAUGAGUGCUAAGUGUUAGGGGGUUUCCGCCCCUUAGUGCUGCAGCUAACGCAUUAAGCACUCCGCCUGAGGAGUACGGUCGCAAGACUGAAACUCAAAGGAAUUGACGGGGGCCCGCACAAGCGGUGGGUGAUGUGGUUUAAUUCGAAGCAACGCGAAGAACCUUACCAGGUCUUGACAUCUUCUGACAAGCCUAGAGAUAGGGCUUUGGGACAGAGUGACAGGUGGUGCAUGGUUGUCGUCCACUCGUGUCGUGAGAUGUUGGGUUAAGUCCCGCAACGAGCGCAACGCAACCCUUGAUCUUAGUUGCCAGCAUUUAGUUGGGCACUCUAAGGUGACUGCCGGUGACAAACUCCAGGAAGGUGGGGAUGACGUCAAAUCAUCAUGCCCCUUAUGACCUGGGCUACACACGUGCUACAAUGGACAGAACAAAGGGCUGCGAGACCGCACCGUUUAGCCAAUCCCAUAAAUCUGUUCUCAGUUCGGAUCGUGCUCUGCAACUCGACUGCGUGAAGCUGGAAUCGCGCGGAUCAGCAU
rnacentral:rRNA from 1 species